UUGAAAAUAUACCAGUAGAAGAAAUAGUUCCUCAUUAGGAAACUUGUUUCUAGUUUCCACGCAGAUGAUUUUGACAAAAAUGAGGCUUGCGCGUACUUAACUGUGCCGUGUGAUAGCUCGGCGUACCUGCGCAGUUGUAACGGUGGUGAUACUUGCGCGUGUCGUAGGCCUUUAAGGCAAGCAAUUUUUU